rnacentral:rRNA from 1 species
UACGAGGGGAGCAAGCGUUGUUCGGAUUUACUGGGCGUAAAGGGCGCGUAGGCGGCCACCGCAAGUCGACUGUGAAAUCUCCGGGCUUAACUCGGAAAGGUCAGCCGAUACUGCGGGGCUAGAGUGCAGAAGGGGCAACUGGAAUUCUCGGUGUAGCGGUGAAAUGCGUAGAUAUCGAGAGGAACACCUGCGGCGAAGGCGGGUUGCUGGGCUGACACUGACGCUGAUUGUGCGAAAGCUAGGGGAGCGAACGGG